rnacentral:rRNA from 1 species
GAUGAACGCUGGCGGCGUGCCUAAUACAUGCAAGUCGAGCGAACAGAUGAGGAGCUUGCUCCUCUGACGUUAGCGGCGGACGGGUGAGUAACACGUGGAUCACCUCCCUAUAAGACUGGGAUAACUUCGGGAAACCGGAGCUAAUACCGGAUAAUAUAUUGAACCGCAUGGUUCAAUAGUGAAAGACGGUUUUGCUGUCACUUAUAGAUGGAUCCGCGCCGCAUUAGCUAGUUGGUAAGGUAACGGCUUACCAAGGCAACGAUGCGUAGCCGACCUGAGAGGGUGAUCGGCCACACUGGAACUGAGACACAGUCCAGAGUCCUACGGGAGGCAGCAGUAGGGGAUGUUCCGCAAUGGGAGAAAGCGUGACGGAGCAACGCCGCGUGAGUGAUGAAGGUCUGCGGAUCGUAAAACUCUGUUAUUAGGGAAGAACAAAUGUGUAAGUAACUAUGCACGUAUUGACGGUACCUAAUCAGAAAGCAACGGCUAACUACGUG